UGAGGAAUAUUGGACAAUGGACGGAAGUCUGAACCAGCCAAGCAGCGUGCAGGAUGACGGCCCUCUGGGUUGUAAACUGCUUUUAUAGGGGGAUAAAGUGGGGAACGUGUUCCCUUUUGCAGGUACCACAUGACUAUGGACCGGCUACUUCCGUGCGAGCAGCCGCGGUAAUACGGAAGGUUCGUGCGUUAUCCGGAGUUAUUGGGGUUAAAGGGAGCGUAGGCCGGUUGGUAAGCGUGUUGUGAAAUAUAGGCGCUCAACUUCUAGCUUGCAGCGCGAACUGUCAGACUUGAGUGCGCACAACGAGGGCGGAAUUCCUGGUGUAGCGGUGAAAUGCAUAGAUAUCAUGAAGAACACCGAUUGCGAAGGCAGCUUACGGGGGCGCAACUGACGCUGAAGCUCGAAGGUGCGGGUAUCGAACAGG
rnacentral:rRNA from 1 species